AUUUCUUCAUUCUGGCUAUAAUAAUGAUCCAAUCGGAUCCCAAUUUGGUGAUCUGUGAGAUAUGGUCUACGGAAUGGCGUUUUUAGGGUUCUGUUAUCUUCAAAAUUGUAGAUUUGGGAGGUUUUCGCCCUUUUGAGGGGCGGAAGGGGGCGGGGCUCAUUUUUGAAAUACACUUGUAACAGUGUGAGCAUGCAGAAGUCUGGAUGCAAAAUUUGGUGGCUUUAGCUCUUAUAGUCUCUGCGUACUUGGCGCUCAUCAGGACGGACAGACGGACGGACAGACAGACAUGGCUCUAUCGACUGGGCUAUUGAUGCUGAUCAAGAAUAUAUAUACUUUAUGGGGUCGGAAACGUUUCAUUCUCUGCGUUACAUACAUAAAUUUUCCACACAAAUAAAAUAUACCAUAUUUACUCUUCGAGUACCGGGUAUAAAAAGAUACAUACAUAUAUCAUAUUUGAAUAAUAAAUGUUAAGAACUACAAAUUCUGAAAUAAUAUUAAACAAGAAAUGCCUAAGAAUAUGCCAAGAAUAUCCCAUAUGUGCAAAUUCGCCUCAGUACCCUCUGCGAAAAGUGAAGAAUAACCCACAGAGGGUGCUAACGUGCUGUUAACAGCAGCUUUUCGAACACAGGUUUGACAGCUAGAGGGCGCUUAAGGUUCAAAAAACCAAGUUAGCAUAAAGAGUAGAAUGUAAAAAGUAAUAAAGCAGUCAGUAAAAACUGAAACAAAAUGAUCAUUGAAUGAUUUUUAAAAUAUAACUUAUAAUGAUUACGGUCCCUACUUUAGUAAUACUGACAUCCAUCUGGACCAUCUAAAUUAAAAUUUGUCCUCAUCACUGAAGAUGAAAUUUUGCCACUUCAAGUCCAUAAACUUAUGAUUUUUGAAGUUAUGAAGUUGAAAUUUUGGUACUUUCUUUAAAUAUGGUAUAUUGUAUUUGUGGGGAAUAACGGUAGUAUGACCCCCCCGACCCCAUAAAGUAUAUCAAUUCUUGAUCAGCAUCAAUAGCCGAGUCCGUCCGUCUUGUUGAGCGCCUGGAUCUCAGAGACUAUAAAAGCGAGAGUCACCAAAUUUUACAUCCAGACUUUUAUAUAUGCUCACACGGUUACAAGUGUAUUUAAAAUAUAAUGAGUAAAUAAAAUAUAUAAAGGGGGCAGCCCUUCCGACCCCGCAAAUCGUGAAAAAUAUGAGAUAUUCGAAAUUUUGAAGAUACGAGAAAACUAAAAAUGCCAUUCCGUAGACCAUAUCUCACAGAUCACCAAAUUGGGAUCCGAUUGGAUCAUUAUUAUAGCCAGAAUGAAGAAAUUAAUU
rnacentral:lncRNA from 1 species